rnacentral:rRNA from 1 species
CGCGCGCCUAACCGAUGCCGCGACGAGUAGGAGGGNGCCGCGGUGCGCACGGAAGCCUAGGGCGCNAGCCCGGGUG